AAAGAAGUAAUGCUGCACUUCAGUGGCUUCCCCCCUUUACAGGCUAUGUGGCAAGAUAAUGAUGGUGAGAGAAGGAAGUGCUUUUGGGAAGAAGUUCUCAAGUUCCUGGAUGGUCACCAGGGAAGAUAUCAAUCUGAGGCUAGCCACUGUUCAGCAGAGAAAUGUCGCUUGAUGUUUGGGGCUGACCAAUGCUAUGAGCUGCUGAAGGCCAGAAACAAGUCUUCUCCUCCACACAAGCAGCUGAGGUCCUUCUCCUGCCUGGCCUUGUAAGUUGGAGUGCGGUGAGCAGCACUCUUCACAGUCUUCUCAGAAGUCCAGUACAGUCAGAAGAAUGGGAAAGGUCUGGUUAAAAAUGAAGAGUUCAAGUGCUGGUGGAGAGCAAAGAGCUUUGUGGAGCUGCUGAGAGGGCUUCCCCUGAAUUUGCAAAUUGGAGAGUCCUCAUCAGUCUCUGGUGAGGAGAGUGCUGGGAUCCCCACCCUGUCAGGCAGGAGAGAUCUGCGCUGGAGCAACUGUCCUGAGCGAUUUAGUAUGACUCUUUUUUCCCAGUUUUUUGGUUGUUACUGAGCUGCAUUGUUUAAAUUUAAUUGUAAGAUUAAGGGUUGAGUGCAAAAUGGAGCUGUUUAGCAAGGGAUGCAACAUGUGCUUUCCUUUUAAUGUAAAAUCACAGAAUUCCAAGUUAUCCAUAAAAUCAAAUCCUGUGGAAAAGCAAUUUUGGAGUGGGAAAUUAAUUUUAACAUUGUGUUAUUUCCACUGUAAUAGAAGAUUAACAAAAAAUACCUUUGGGGGGGGGGGGAGAUUGAGACACUUUUCCUGGAAAUGUCAAUAUAGAGUUUUAUGACAUUGCUAUAACACUUUGGUCUCGAUUGCUUCAAAAUAAAAAUUUGGCAACAUUCUACUUUGUAAGUCUC
rnacentral:lncRNA from 1 species